CCUGAGAGGGUGGCCCCCCACAAUGGAACUGAAACACGGUCCAUACACCUACGGGGGGCAGCAGUAGGGAAUAUUGCACAAUGGGCGAAAGCCUGAUGCAGCAACACCGCGUGUGCGAAGAAGGCCUUCGGGUCGUAAAGCACUUUUCUGAGGGAUGAGCAAGGACAGUACCUCAGGAAUAAGUCUCGGCUAACUACGUGCCAGCAGCCGCGGUAAAACGUAGGAGGCAAGCGUUAUCCGGAUUCACUGGGCGUAAAGCGCGUGCAGGCGGUUCGGUAAGUUGGGCGUGAAAUCUCCUGGCUCAACUAGGAGAGGUCGUUCAAUACUACCGGGCUAGAGAGUGGUAGAGGAAGAUGGAAUUCCCGGUGUAGUGGUGAAAUGCGUAGAUAUCGGGAGGAACACCAGUGGCGAAGGCGAUCUUCUGGACCAUUUCUGACGCUCAGACGCGACAGCUAGGGUAGCAAACGGGAUUAGAGACCCCGGUAGUCCUAGCCGUAAACGAUGUGAACUUGGCGUCGGUGGGUUAAACUCCAUCGGUGCCGAAGCUAACGCGAUAAGUUCACCGCCUGGGGACUACGGCCGCAAGGUUAAAACUCAAAGGAAUUGACG
rnacentral:rRNA from 1 species